CUACGGGGGGCUGCGGCAGGGAAUAUUGCACAAUGGACGGAAGUCUGAUGCAGCGACGCCGCGUGGAUGAUGAAGGCCCUCGGGUUGUAAAAUCCUUUUCAGGGGGACGAGGAAGGACGGUACCCUUGGAAUAAGCGUCGGCUAACUACGUGCCAGCAGCCGCGGUAAGACGUAGGACGCAAGCGUUAUCCGGAUUUACAGGGCGUAAAGCGUCUGUAGGCGGAAUGGUAAGUUGGACGUGAAAGCUCCGGGCUCAACCCGGAGAGGUCGUUCAAUACUGCCAAACUAGAGGGCAUCAGAGGAGCGUGGAAUUUCCGGUGUAGCGGUAAAAUGCGCAGAUAUCGGAAGGAACACCAAUGGCGAAGGCAGCGCUCUGGGAUGAACCUGACGCUAAGAGACGAAAGCUAGGGGAGCGAACAGGAUUAGAUACCCGCGUAGUC
rnacentral:rRNA from 1 species